AGUGAACGCUGGCGGUAGGCCUAACACAUGCAAGUCGAACGGCAGCACAGUACGAGCUUGCUCUUACGGGUGGCGAGUGGCGGACGGGUGAGGAAUACAUCGGAAUCUACUUUUUCGUGGGGGAUAACGUAGGGAAACUUACGCUAAUACCGCAUACGACCUACGGGUGAAAGCAGUGGAUCUUCUGACCUUGCGCGAUUGAAUGAGCCGAUGUCGGAUUAGCUAGUUGGCGGGGUAAAAGCCCACCAAGGCGACGAUCGGUAGCUGGUCUGAGAGGAUGGACACCCCCCGUGAAAGUGACCCGCGGCCCAGCACCCGAGGGAAGGCACAGAUGGGGAAUGGUGGCAAAAGGGGGCAAGCCUGAACCAGGCAUCCGGGGGGGAUGAAGAAGCGCCUCGGGUGGGAAAACCCUUUUGGUGGGAAAAAAAACCAUCGGGUUUAACCCACCGUGUUUGACGGGAACCCAAAAAAAAGGCACGGCUAAAUACGUG
rnacentral:rRNA from 1 species